UGUGUGUGUGUGUCUGUAUGUCUGUGUGUGUGUGUCUGUAUGUCUGUGUGUGUGUGUCUGUAUGUCAGUAUGUCUGUGUGUGUAUGUCUGUGUGUGUGUGUGUGUAUGCCAGUAUGUCUGUGUGUGUGUGUGUGUGUGUGUGUCAGUAUGUCUGUGUGUAUGCCAGUAUGUCUGUGUGUGUGUGUGUCAGUAUGUCUGUGUGUAUGCCAGUAUGUCUGUGUGUGUGUAUGUAGGUAUGUCUCUGUGUGUGUGUGUACGUGUGUGUCAGUAUGUCUGCCAGGAUAUAUUUGUGUGUCAGUGUAUGUGUGUGUCAGUAUGUAUCUGUGAAUAUUUUAAUGUCUGUCUGUGUGUAUGUCAGUAUGUCUGUG